rnacentral:rRNA from 1 species
AUACGGAGGAUCCGAGCGUUAUCCGGAUUUAUUGGGUUUAAAGGGUGCGCAGGCGGGAGAUUAAGUCGGCGGGGAAAUUUUGCAGCUCAACUGUAAAAGUGCCUUCGAAACUGGUUUCCUUGAGUGUAGAUGAAGUAGGCGGAAUUUGUGGUGUAGCGGUGAAAUGCAUAGAUAUCACGAGGAACUCCGAUUGCGCAGGCAGCGUACUAAACUACUACUGACGCUCAGGCACGAAGGCGUGGGGAUCAAACAGGAUUAGAUACCCUGGUAGUCCACGCAGUAAACGAUGAUUACUAGCUGUUUGCGAUACAAUGUAAGCGGCUGAGCGAAAGCGUUAAGUAAUCCACCUGGGGAGUACGUUCGCAAGAAUGAAACUCAAAUGAAUUGGCGGGG